UGUGUAGGUGGCGCCGUAAGUCGGGUGUGAAAUUUCGGAGCUUAACUCCGAAACUGCAUUCGAUACUGCGGUGCUUGAGGACUGGAGAGGAGACUGGAAUUCAUGGUGUAGCAGUGAAAUGCGUAGAGAUCAUGGGGAAGACCAGUGGCGAAGGCGGGUCUCUGGACAGUUCCUGACACUGAGACACGAAGGCCAGGGAGCAAACG
rnacentral:rRNA from 1 species